rnacentral:piRNA from 1 species
ACCACCAGCAGCAGCGGACAGCCCU